ensembl:lncRNA
UUAUUAUUAUUAUUAUUAUUAUUAUUUUAAUGCUUAUUCACAAACUCUUUUCUUACUUUGCUGCGUUUUGUAAUGGUUGUAUUAGCAAUGUGGAUAUAUACAAGGGCUGCUCUGAAAGUAAUGCCUCCUACUGUAUUGUUGUGGCCUACAACGUCAGAGGCAGAUGCUGGGGGUAUGGCAGUAGAGGUUGAACCUUCCCACCAUUAUUCUGUUACAUUUUGUUGCUGUGUGGCAGAUGGCAGCAGAGAGGCUGUCUGACAGAAAGGCAUCUGACAUGGAAGUGUGUAUGUGACAGUGACACAGGGAAGAUAAUGCAGCUAUAGAGGCAUAAUGAAAGGGCAAUUUCUGUCUUCAGACUAUGUACACAGAGCAGAAUACUUUUAGCAUUUUAUUCUCAAAAUGGGUUCACACCUUUCACCCAGACACCUAAGUGUUACACAUGGUGUGAAGAAAGUGAGGCACAACAAAGAAGCACUUUUAACAGACAAGAUGGGACAAAAUACAGGUAAUAGUCAAAGGUCAUACAUAUAUUUCUGGACAACAGAAACAUGCCAGUCUGGGCAUUAAAUUCUCAUGAUGAAUGUUCAGACUAACAACUGGAACUUUGAGAGGACUAAACGGAAACUGAUUUUAUAACCAUAAGGCAUAUGAAAAUCGAUGUGUCAGAUUAUCAAACUUCAAAAAUCUCAAUGAGAGGAGUAGAGUAGGGCAUGCUCCAUGACCUACUGUUCUGUGUUUCUCAUGCCCUGAAUCAUGAUUUAAACUUAAAAUGUAUAUAUAUUACAAAAUUAAUGACUCAUAAAGGACGUAUAUUAUUAAGUAUUUCAUAUUAAAUAUCACAAAGUCUGAGUUCACAGCCUUGUAUUCUUAUUCAAAUCACUAAACUAUUUAGCAUUUACCAACUCUGUUGUGGUGUUUGAUGCUGUCCAACAUUGCUGACUCUCAAAUAUGCUGCAAGUGAGAGAACAAUUAUUUGUUUUGCUGGCUGCUUAACCACAAUUGAUUUUUCAGCUCAAAUAAGUAAGCAGAGCAAGUAAAGCAGAGCAAGGGCUGAAAUCUGUGGAUUCACUACUCUAUAUCAGCUGAAGAUCGAGUCUGAAAUAAAGCUCUUUCUUCAGUAUUGGAUAUGGAACAUGGAGGUUUCAUGGCUCUCUUCAGCAGGGAUGUGUUGUUUAUUUCAUUCCCAAGGGAGAAAAAGAAGAAAGAACUUCCACUCAGAAGUAUCAGGCUUUUGCAGGAAAUGCCUGUUGGACAGAGAGCACUGACAUUUCUGGUAUAAUUGUUAUUGGUAAUCCUACCUGAACAGCUGCAGAAUAAACUGUAGGAAAUUACAGGGUUUUCUUCUGCACCCAGUGGUACAGAUUUGGAAAAGAUGUUAAAGAGCUUCCAAGCAGCAUCUGUUCCUCUCCAGAAGGGAGAACUGAGACACACCGGCAACUGCAGGGUGGUGGCUCUUUGCUUGUACUCUUGUCACAAUCCACUUUUAGAAUCCCACUUCACAAACCAAGGGUUCUGGCCCAGGUCACCGAGCAGACCAUCUGCACGUCCAACCAGUGCUCAACAGCAGCCAAAGGGGAGUACCUUCACUGCUAAUUCCUGUGGCUGAACAACUGCCACAAGUGUUUUCUUUCAAAGGAGGUAAUAGAGUUGAACUUGGGUUGCCGAAGAUAAUCAGAAUGCUGAGAGGACCAAAGCCAUGCAGAACUACAUUUGUGGUGUAGAUGCCAUAGCCACGCGUUCAGAUAUUGGCUCCUGAGCUAAAAUUAGGCCCUAAGACAAAAUCUUGUCACCAAAACAGCACCAGAGCAUCCUAACCAUCACUGUAAGACAAAUGGGAUC